GGCAAAGGUCGCUGGCUGCAGAGACAGUGAAUGAUUGACUCCAGUGAAAGUGAGAUUUCAGGAUUUUUUUUUUUUUCACAGCGUUCAAAGGUGCAAGUCGCGUGAGUCCGAGGAAAACUCUGCUCCGUCAUCCAGCAGGGGGCCAGAGAGAUCAUAGAGAAGCUAGCACGUGGCCGACCCGGGAUUUGAUCUCCAGCAUUGUGUGGUCCCCUGACCUUCACCAGGAGUGAUUCCUGAGUACAGAGCUAGAAGUAACCCCUGAGCAUCUCCAGGUCUCCAUGGGCCGCCAAGAUGUGAUCCUGGGGGCCGCACGUGUGUGUGGCCUCUCCGAAGCUGCAUGAGCAUGACUCCAGAUGAGCGUGACUCCAGAUGCCAGCUAAAUUUUUCGGCAUGGGCAGCUCCUCACAGAAUGUCUCUAGACUGAGAACUAAGCUGUGGCCCCAUGCCCGCCCAGGAGGGGAAAGGUAUUUCUCUCUCUCUCGCCUCUUCCUUGCCGGGGGUGAAGGGCAUGGUGACCGCCAUAUUAUGACAACCACAGAUGGGGUUUACAAGCUUGCAAUGAUCCAAUAUCUGGAAGAAAUCUCCCUGGACUUAGUUGCUAAAGUACAGAAAUCCAAAACCUCGUGACCUCAUAUCUCUUCACAACACGUCUGACUCUA